AGGAUUGUGUGUGUCCUAUUGUCUCGGAGCACAUGUCCUCUGAGCAUGCGCCUAGGCCCAGCAUAUAGUGACAGCGUAUAGUGGGGGAUUUGGACCCUCUAGAACUUUCAAGGACCCUCUAGUGACAGUACCGGGCAUGCGCCCCACCACCGAGUGGGAGGCGUGAGUAUGCAGAACAGUUAUUGACUAUCCAAGAGGACAACACUCUAAAAAAGGAAAACCAGCGGAGACCAUGAGGAGCGUCUGGGACAUUCACCUGAUGGAUUUGAAGAUAUAUCAGACUGAUGGGGCACUGCAGAUCUGUGGUGCCUGAUCUAGAAGAUACUAGGCUUUUCCCCUCAGUGAUUCCACUAGACCACUGAAGGUUAAAGAAGAAGAGUUUCUUGCUGACUGCUACUAGCAGCUUCCCAGGAGAUGCAGAAGACUUCUGCAGCCAACAGUGAUAUCCUACAGUGUGCUAUGUUCCCAUGAAAUACUUUGAGACUUAUUAUGGAAACAUUCUAUUCCCCACUUUUCCUGCUCCCGCCCCCUGCAACCCAUGCUUUCAUUUCAGUCGGUUCAUCUGGAAAUUAGUCAUUUUGGCUGAGAUGUUGGCAUUUUUAAAGUGAAACAAAUUUGCUCUAAAAUAAAAUUGUUGCUAUUUUGGGUGGGUAUUGAAAGGUCAUACCUGAAACUCAGUGUAGUCCUUGUGGGAUGUGCCUGUCUUAAUCUUUUGCAGAAAACAGAAAUCUAAGAAGUAGAGAGACAUCAUUCUUUUUUUUUUUUUAUCACCCACGAGACUGGAGACAGUAAUAUUUCUUAUUUAUGGUUUUAUUUCUCUUGAUAGCUGCAUUUCAAAGAAUUGUCAUUUGUUGGGGAGGAGGGAGAAUUUUAAAUACAGUUUUCAGACAGCAAAGGAAUUAAUGGAAAUUGCACAUUUAUUCUAAGCUAUUUUGCCUCAGACUGGUGCAACAGCAAUGCAAAGUCAAAGGAGAAAUACCUGUUGGAAGGACACAUCAUUACAUUUACAGCAUACCAUGACAAAGAAACAACUGAUUUCGUCUUUCUGUCUAAAAUUAUUUUCCUUAUGGUGUGUAAAAAUGGGCAUCAGUGAUUAAUUUUCAGAGUUCUAACAGAGACAGCAUCAAUGGGGGUGUCCAACAGUCUUCUAAUCUGUGGCUUGCUAAACAGCACUGUGCUCAAAACAACCUGAGCAGGGGACCAAAAGGCUGCAUCUCCCACACCCUGAUC